GAAAGCUCUCCCUAAUCCGACUUUAAUUCGAAUUCAAAGUCAGAUGAUGCCUUUAUAUAUAAACAGGGGUGUUGGGUGUUGACAUAUCGAUAGACAAAAGCAAUGGCUGGUGCUUUUGAUUCAGAACACCUCUUGGCAGAAAUCCUGAAAAGACUACCUCCAAAAUCUCUAGCACAAUGCACUUGUGUGGAGAAAUCAUGGUAUGAUCUUAUACAAUCUCCUAAUUUCAAAGCUCUGUACUCUGAUUCUAAUCAAUUUAUUUAUAUGCUUGCAAAACUAUUUAAUGGGGGCUUUGCUUUAUAUAGAAUGGAUCCACUACUUCACCCGCGAUUUAGUAGCAAUAGUUGUAGCUCCGACUCUACUUAUCUUCAUGACUUGCGUCCUCUUCUUGUUUUCCCCACAGAUUCGCAUUUAGGAGACAAUUAUUUCAAGUGCAUAAAUAAAAUUAGGUUCCAAGAUAUAUUUCUAUGGACUUGCAUUGUCGUCGGGUAAUAAAUACACUAGCUUUUAUACCAUGGAAGAAAAGGAUCUUAUGAGUAUAGAACCUAGUGAAGACAAUGUCAUUACGAAUUUUAAACUUUAACUAAAAUUAAAAAUCCCAUGCAUGAGUUAAAGCUUUUUCCGAUUGUUUUUGUCGCCAAUGACAAACUCUAUAUUCUAUCUGGGUGCUUUCUCGAUACCAUAUUUGAAGUCUUUUCUCCUGCUGACGGGACUUGGCAAGUGUUGCCCAAUCCAGAAGAUGAUGCAUUAGAGUUUCAUUAUUAUGCUGAUGGGGUUUCUUAUCUUGUCAUGGAACAAGAGCAAAUAGUCUAUUUUGCUACUACUAGACUACUCUCGUCCUUCAAUCUACAAACACAUCAAUGGGCUAUACACACAUAUUUUAAUAGUCCAACUCCUGCACAUUUUACAUUCGGUCAACAAAAAUUUCGUUACAUAUGUAAUCCAAUAAUCGGUAAUUUGGCUUUUGGUAUACUCCCC
rnacentral:lncRNA from 1 species